GGCCUUGUAGUGUAAUGGUCAACACGCUUGAUACAUCUGCCUAUACGAAUAAAUUUCACAUGAUCAAGAGCUACGAGUUCGACUCUCGUCAAGGAACCU